rnacentral:rRNA from 1 species
GAUGAACGCUAGCGGGAGGCCUAACACAUGCAAGCCGAGCGGUAGAGUUUCUUCGGAAACUUGAGAGCGGCGGACGGGUGGGUAAGACGUGUGCAACCAACCUGUAUCUGGGGGAUAGCCAUUCGAAAGGAAGAUGAAUACACAAUAAUAUAAUGAUUGGCAUCAAUGAUUAUUGAAAACUACGGUGGAUAGAGAUGGGCACGCGCAAGAUUAGAUAGUUGGUGAGGGAACGGCUCACCAAGUCAAUGAUCUUUAGGGGUCCUGAGAGGGAGAUCCCCCACACUGGUACUGCGACACGGACCAUACUCCUACGCCCGGCAGCAGUCAGGAAUCUUGGACCAUGGGUGAUAGCCUGAUCCAGCCAUCCCGCGUGAAGGAUGACGGUCCUAUGGAUUGUAAACUUCUUUUGUACAGGGCUAAACCUACCCUCGUGAGGGUAGCUGCAGUUACUGUACGAAUAAGCACCGCCUAACUCCGU